CCCCCCGCUAGGCGGGGGGCCAAAAAGCUUACAGCUUUGCCCAUGUCAGUAAAACUCCUUUUGGUUUGUUGAAAAGUCUCGCGGUCUGGCAACUGCGAGUCAACAAAUCAAAAG
rnacentral:sRNA from 1 species